rnacentral:rRNA from 1 species
UAACGCUGAGGUGUGAUGACGAGGCACUACGGUGCUGAAGUAACAAAUGCCCUGCUUCCAGGAAAAGCCUCUAAGCAUCAGGUAACACAAAAUCGUACCCCAAACCGACACAGGUGGUCAGGUAGAGAAUACCAAGGCGCUUGAGAGAACUCGGGUGAAGGAACUAGGCAAAAUGGUGCCGUAACUUCGGGAGAAGGCACGCUGAUAUGUAGGUGAAGUGAUUUACUCAUGGAGCUGAAAUCAGUCGAAGAUACCAGCUGGCUGCAACUGUUUAUUAAAAACACAGCACUGUGCAAACACGAAAGUGGACGUAUACGGUGUGACGCCUGCCCGGUGCCGGAAGGUUAAUUGAUGGGGUUAUCCGUAAGGAGAAGCUCUUGAUCGAAGCCCCGGUAAACGGCGGCCGUAACUAUAACGGUCCUAAGGUAGCGAAAUUCCUUGUCGGGUAAGUUCCGACCUGCACGAAUGGCGUAAUGAUGGCCAGGCUGUCUCCACCCGAGACUCAGUGAAAUUGAACUCGCUGUGAAGAUGCAGUGUACCCGCGGCAAGACGGAAAGACCCCGUGAACCUUUACUAUAGCUUGACACUGAACACUGGUCCUUGAUGUGUAGGAUAGGUGGGAGGCUUUGAAGUGUGGACGCCAGUCUGCAUGGAGCCAACCUUGAAAUACCACCCUUUAAUGGCUGGUGUUCUAACGUAGACCCGUGAUCCGGGUUGCGGACAGUGUCUGGUGGGUAGUUUGACUGGGGCGGUCUCCUCCUAAAGAGUAACGGAGGAGCACGAAGGUUAGCUAAUCCUGGUCGGACAUCAGGAGGUUAGUGCAAAGGCAUAAGCUAGCUUGACUGCGAGAGUGACGGCUCGAGCAGGUGCGAAAGCAGGUCUUAGUGAUCCGGUGGUUCUGAAUGGAAGGGCCAUCGCUCAACGGAUAAAAGGUACUCCGGGGAUAACAGGCUGAUACCGCCCAAGAGUUCAUAUCGACGGCGGUGUUUGGCACCUCGAUGUCGGCUCAUCACAUCCUGGGGCUGAAGUAGGUCCCAAGGGUAUGGCUGUUCGCCAUUUAAAGUGGUACGCGAGCUGGGUUUAGAACGUCGUGAGACAGUUCGGUCCCUAUCUGCCGUGGGCGCUGGAGAAUUGAGGGGGGCUGCUCCUAGUACGAGAGGACCGGAGUGGACGCAUCACUGGUGUUCGGGUUGUCAUGCCAAUGGCAUUGCCCGGUAGCUAAAUGCGGAAGAGAUAAGUGCUGAAAGCAUCUAAGCACGAAACUUGCCCCGAGAUGAGUUCUCCCUGACCCUUUAAGGGUCCUGAAGGAACGUUGAAGACGACGACGUUGAUAGGUCGGGUGUGUAAGCGUAGCGAUACGUUGAGCUAACCGAUACUAAUGAACCGUGAGGCUUAACCUU